ACGUAGGCACCAAGCGUUGUUCGGAAUUACUGGGCGUAAAGCGAGUGUAGGCGGUUUGCCAAGUCGGUUGUGAAAUCUCCCGGCUUAACUGGGAGGGUGCGACUGAAACUGGCAGGCUGGAGUGCAGGAGAGGAGAGUGGAAUUCCUGGUGUAGCGGUGAAAUGCGUAGAUAUCAGGAGGAACACCGGUGGUGAAGACGGCUCUCUGGACCGCUACUGACGCUGAGGUGCGAAAGCGUGGGGAGCAAACAGGA
rnacentral:rRNA from 1 species